rnacentral:rRNA from 1 species
AAUAUUCCGCAAUGGACGAAAGUCUGACGGAGCGACGCCGCGUGGAUGAAGAAGGCCGAAAGGUUGUAAAGUUCUUUUGUUGGGGAAGAAUAACCAUGGGAGGGAAUGCCCGUGGGAUGACAUGAACCGACGAAUAAGCCCCGGCUAACUACGUGCCAGCAGCCGCGGUAACACGUAGGGGGCGAGCGUUGUUCGGACUUACUGGGCGUAAAGGGCAUGUAGGCGGUCUUGUAAGCUUGGCGUGAAAGAC